rnacentral:rRNA from 1 species
UACGUAGGGACCAAGCGUUGUUCGGAUUUACUGGGCGUAAAGAGCGUGUAGGCGGCCCGGUAAGUCCGCUGUGAAAGUCCAGGGCUCAACCCUGGGAUGCCGGUGGAUACUGUCGGGCUCGAGUCCGGAAGAGGAGUGUGGAAUUCCUGGUGUAGCGGUGAAAUGCGCAGAUAUCAGGAGGAACACCAAUGGCGAAGGCAGCACUCUGGGACGUGACUGACGCUGAGACGCGAAAGCGUGGGGAGCAAACAGG